CGCAACCUCCUCGUCUCCAGCGCUCUCGUCUCUGCUCCACCACCCCGCGCCGCCACAUCCCACACGCCGACGUCGGCCUCGCCGCAGAAAUCCGCCCGCACCACCGCCGACGCAUCCCUCGUCCUGUCGAAGCCGCGAGAAGAGGAGCCCCACCCGGACGACUUCCCCCCGUCCCCCGCGGAUGGUUCUGCUUCCAUUGAGACGCCCAGGCCUGACAGAUCUUGCUCGUCGUCAGCCCAGGGCCGGGUCGGCCGGAGCAGUCGGAGAGGAGUGGCGGAUGUGCGUCCGCUUAGAUGCCGCCGGUCAGAGAAGGUGGGGAUGAGCGGAUUGCAGCGAGGGAGGCGGCUCGGCUCGGACCGUCCAUGGCGCUAGCGCGAUGGCUCGCCUCCUAUUUCGGCAUGGCUAUUGUUUUGGUCCGCGUCGUUUCUGCCUCGACGGACAUUGUCGUCGUAGGUGCCGAUGAGGGACGAGCCGCCAGCGACGGAUCCCGCGAGGCCAACCUCCAGCGCCCCUUCUCCGGCCGGCCUUGAACGACCUUGUCCCGCCGGAGCUAGGUGGGUCGAUGACCCGCUGGAUGGGAGCUGGCAUGUCCAGCCACCACCUCUGGUGCCCCGUCGCGCACCUGCCCGCCGCCAGGGGCCCGAGGGCCAAGUUGCGGGGUUGUGCGGUCGCGCUGGUCAUCCUCCGCUCCAGGAAGCAUCUUGCCGGGGUUGGGGUCAAUCCCGGGCAGGCCUGAGGAGGAGAGCGGGCGGCCUCCGUCAGUCCUCUCCGGUGAGGCCUUUGACAAGAGGGGCCAAGAUCGAUGCUACCAAGUGCCAUUUGCUUCAGUGCAUUUUGUUUGAUGAAUCUGUUCAUGAAGGAAUCUGCAGUCCUAACAAAGAAGAUGGAAAGAGUACUCCUGGAAAGUGAAAAAGAGAAGGAAACAACAAUCUUGCAAAAGAUUAAACAAAGAACAGCUUGCUCACAAAAUUUUCCAUGAGUGAGAUUGCUUCUCUUCACACAUAUAAUCUGACUCGUGGAAAGUUUUGUGAGCAAGCUGUUAAUAUUUACAUAGUACAUAUAUUAGUUACUUCUUUUAACGAUAUAUGUGUGAAGAGAAGCAUUGCCACUCAUGGAAAGAGUACUUCUGUUAUGCUGCUACAUGUUUACAUACAUAUAUUAGUUUUUUAGGUCAUGCAAAUUUCUUAGAAAAAAUUAUCCCCUUCCGGCUAUUAAGCUUGGAAUAACAUGAAAAGAUAGUUAAAAAUGCAAUAGAUUUCCUUAUUACUCAUGGCACAUUGGGUUCAGAUAAUAUUUGCUUUGUUUUGUCCUUAUUAAGCUAAAUAGCUAAUUAUGUCGAUAUGAUCUGAUCUGAUUCAUUUAUCCAAGUAAAGAGUGCAUGCUCAUGUUUCCAUUCAUCAAGGUGAAAUCAAUUUUAGAGGCUGUAAGUAGGCAGAAGAUCCACUCAUGUUCUGAUCUAUCAUGAUUCUGGUUGAAAGUUGUGUUCAACUGAAAUUAUGCAUCAAAUCCCCUCACACAAUUGUGUUCUGCAUGUUAUGUGUUUGAUGAGAUUCCUCCAAGCCAGCUGUCCAGUGAGCCCCCCUAAUUCAGUUGUCUCGGUUGGUUAGAAAUUGCCUGUGAUUCACUUAUCGAUCAAUUAAUUAGAUUGAUAUUUUAGUAUGUUCAUUCGGCUUAUUCAAAUAAUCACAUUCAUAGGUUUAGUUUGGUUUGGUUACCCAUAUAUACCCCGUAGUUCUUUUAGUCCUGUUUGUGUUGAGAAUUUCUGAAAACAAAUUACAAUUCACGUAGUUAAAAGGUAUCAAAGUGAUGUUUGUAUGCAUAGUUCCUGCCUAUUGUAACUAGAAAAAUGUGACUGCAAAUUUUGUCGAUCAUUUAUAGUUCCUUCCUGUUUUCCGAACUUUUUCUAGGAAGGAAUAACAGUAGGACAUGCAUGUGUUAUUUUCCAAGACUUGUUCGAGAUAAAGACCCAAUGAGUCAUCGGAAACUUCCCCUGUCUCUGCAGCAGCAAAUGAUUGUUCAGAGUGAGAGUUUGUCUGAAAAUUGUUCAGAAUGAGGCUUUAGCAUGCUGCACACGGUGUAGACUAAAGUUCCCUCGGAGCAAGAGAAAAUUUAACAAGGCAAUACAACAAAACGUGGAGCAGCUAAUGGACAUCCAAUCAGCUCUCAAGGCAUUCGAGGAGGUACUGCUCUUUGACUGAACAACAUGAUCACGUUUUUUUAUUAAGGGAAGCAUGCUCACGUGGAGGCGCCCAGAAGUUGUGUGUGGGCAUGUAUGACGUUGGCAUAGUCAUAUGCUGAUUUUCUGAGAUAUCAUCGUAUCCUUGACUUUGAACAUCAGUUGUAAAUAAGCAGAGAAGCUGUAUCUAUAGCACCGGUGUUAUUUAUCCCUUGCAUCAAAAUGUAGAAUUUUCUCA